rnacentral:rRNA from 1 species
CAAUAGCGUAUAUUAAUGUUGUUGCAGUUAAAAAGCUCGUAGUUGGAUCUCUGGCUCUGUUCGGACGGCCCGCCUUCGGGUUGAGUGCUGGAAGAACUAGCCUAUUUUCCGGUUGGCGUCCUUUCUCUUUCUUUGAGCGAGGGUUCGCGAUCCGGAUCGGUUACUUUGAAGAAAUUUGAGUGUUCAAAGCAGGCUUACGCCGUGAAAAUUGCAGCAUGGAAUAACAAGAUAGGACUGUCGUGUUCCAUUUUGUUGGUUCUGGGACCGUAGUAAUGAUUGAUAGGGACAGUUGGGGGUGCUGCUAUUCCGCGGCCAGAGGUGAAAUUCUCAGAUUCCCGGAAGAGCAACUUAUGCGAAAGCAUUCACCAAGGAUGUCUUCUUUAA